rnacentral:rRNA from 1 species
UACGUAGGGGGCAAGCGUUGUCCGGAAUUAUUGGGCGUAAAGCGCGCGCAGGCGGCCUUGUAAGUCUGUUGUUUAAACUCGGGGCUCAACCCCGAGUCGCAAUGGAAACUGCAAAGCUUGAGUACAGAAGAGGAAAGUGGAAUUCCCGGUGUAGCGGUGAAAUGCGUAGAUAUCUGGAGGAACACCGGUGGCGAAGGCGGCAUCCUGGACCGGUAUUGACGCUGAGGAGCGAAAGCCAGGGGAGCAAACGGA